GGGCCACUAGAUCCGCAUGCACUUUCUCACGCUUUUAUUCAUACCAUUUGCCAUUUGAAACACUUCGUAAACUGUAAAGCACUCAAAAGAUACUCGGUCCACACCAGAGGGUUCUCAUUCUGGAGAGGUAUGAGAAUGAACUGUGGAAUCGUUUUAAAUGCACUCGGCUGGGUACCACUGGAGCUGUGGUGGGUCUGACCCCAGUGUGUGGAGCUAAGUGAUUUCUGAUCUGCACAAGGAGUCCCCUGGAGCGGCACCGAAGGACUCAGUUCACUCGUCUCCCGCCCACUGGAGCACACACUGGUUGGCAUGCAGUGGACACCAGGGUUUCAGAGCUGGAGGUACAGUACAGGGAGGAGGACAGGCGGUUGUGUAAUUCUCUCAGGAAGAAAGCCAAAACGAAAAAGAAGAAUGCAAGCAGCGUCGGCACACAGGCGAUUUUACAGAAAAGCGAUGAAUGUUCCACUGUGUCCCGAAAUGGUCAUGGAGCACCGCGCUGGAGGAACUGCUGCCUUUUGC